UUUUUAUGCCCCACCUACGAUAGUAGAGGGGCAUUAUGUUUUCUGGUCUGUGCGUCCGUUCGUCCGUUCGUUCGUCCGUUCGUUCGUCCGUUCGUCCGUCUGUCCCGCUUCAGGUUAAAGUUUUUGGUCGAGGUAGUUUUUGAUGAAGUUGAAGUUCAAUCGACUUCAAACUUGGUACACAUGUUCCCUAUGAUAUGAUCUUUCUAAUUUUAAUGCCAAAUUAGAGAUUUCACCCCAAUUUCACGGUCCACUGAACAUAGAAAAUGAAAGUGCAUGUUUCAGGUUAAAGUUUUUCAGGUUAAAGUUUUUGGUCAAGGUAGUUUUUGAUGAAAGUUGAAGUCCAAUCAACUUGAAACUUAGUACACAUGUUCCUUAUGAUAUGAUCUUUCUAAUUUUAAAGCCAAAUUAAACUUUUGACCCCAAUUUCACGGUCCA
rnacentral:lncRNA from 1 species